rnacentral:rRNA from 1 species
AAAGGAAUAGACGGGGACCCGCACAAGCGGUGGAACAUGUGGUUUAAUUCGAAGCAACGCGAAAAACCUUACCAGGACUUGACAUCUAGAGAACCUUAGUGAAAGCUAGGGGUGCCUUCGGGAACUCUAAGACAGGUGGUGCACGGUUGUCGUCAGCUCGUGUCGUGAGAUGUUGGGUUAAGUCCCGCAACGAGCGCAACCCUCGUCGUUAGUUGGUUAUAGUGGCAUGCUGCUAUAUACCUCUCUAGCGAGACUGCCGGUGAUAAACCGGAGGAAGGUGAGGACGACGUCAAAUCAUCAUGCCCCUUAUGUUCUGGGCUACACACGUGUUACAAUGGCUGGUACAACGAGCAGCUAACUCGCGAGAGCAAGCAAAUCUCUUAAACCCAGUCUCAGUUCGGAUUGGACUCUGCAACUCGAGUCCAUGAAGUCGGAAUCGCUAGUAAACGCAGAUCAGCACGCUGCGUUGAAUACGUUCCCGGGUCUUGUACACACCGCCCGU